UUGAAACAUGAUUGAGAUAGAAUUUCUAGUUACCUAAGCAUGUGAGGGGCUCAGAGCCAGAUCUAAUUGGAUUUUUUUUCCUAAAGGAAGUAACAUUUUUUUUCUUUUUUUUUUUUGUCAACUGAACGUUGAGGAGCAAAUCUGUAGCCACUCCAUGUUUUUCUUGGAUUCCCCUGCAAAGACCUCACCGUGUCCUGGACACUUCCUGAUCCUCAUCUUCUCAUGUCAGCCCUCAGCUCUUGCUCAGAAUGGCAGCACGGGAACCCAGUCGUUACCUCCCACCCACCCAGCUCACUGCACAGGACACGCGGACAGUAGCAGUCAUUGCGGGAGCCACUGCGCUUAACAUCAACAACUGGGCCAGUGUUUCCAAAGUGACCGUGAUGCAUCAAAGCUGAAAGUGGCCCCAGGAAGGAACCCAGCACGCUGGUUUACGGCUCCCACACCUCAGCAAAGCUAUGAAGUAGAUGCGGGUACCAUCUCUUUCCAUGAUGAGAGAGCUGAUGAAUGUCACACAGUCUGUGAGUGGCUGAAGGUGGCCCUUUCACAUCAGGAAUCACCCACAUAAAGUCAUCCCUUCCAAGGCUCUGUGUGAUGUGCCUCAACCUCUUCCACUCAGAAACCCUGCCCUCCAGAGGGCAGCAGAUGUCUCCCAACGUGAAGACCAGAAGAAGAGCGAUGGUGUGGGUGCCCCCCAUAUGAGCAAAAAGGCCCGUCGUGCUUCAGGAGGAGAAGAGAGAGCAGCUAAACGGGAUAAAGGCCACACCGGCCCUCCUCAUCUAGAGCACUCCAGAUGGAGAGUGUUAGGUGACUUGAACAUAAAGAAUGGACAGCUUUGCUCCUCCUGGGCACGGGGUACCUGGAUGACCAUGAGCAAGACCUUUGACGUUUUCUCCCUAGUCCUCCAUUUGAUAUUUAUGGCAGGAAUACAACAUUUGAAGCCUCUCAAAUGUUCCUAAUGAUGCCAACGGACAUUUAAAGGGGGUCACUAUAGCUUCUCCUAGGAAUACAUAAAAGCCCUGGGCAACCAGGCUUCCCAAGGCAUCCGGCACAAGGAAGGUUUUAUCUGAACAUUAGCAGAAAAUGAAUGCCAGGCCCUUUAUUGGGCAAAGACCAAUGUGCCUCCAGGCCGUGCCUGCCCUCAGGCCUCUGAACAUUCCAAAUGGGGAAACAUCCCAGGCUCAGCAAAGAAGCUGGCACUCCUUGUUCAGAAGGCCAGGUUUCUCCGGGGAAAACUUGUAGAAAGGAGAAUUUUUUUACCCCCAUCCUCUGCUGGUGUGGGUGGCUGGAGGCCUGCCUUUACUGAAUGUCUUGUAUGUCAGUUGUAAGCACAGCUGGCAUAUGAACGGAUUCUGUAUGACUCUGCUGUGCAUGUGCGCACGGGAGAGGCACAGGUCAAGAGGGAAGACAGUGUAUGUCUAUUACUCAGCUUUAUGCAUCUAAUAUCACAGGCAAAUAUGGACACCUGGAGACUAUCAAACCCAAAUUAGAAACUCAUUGGAAGAAAAGGACAGUGUUUGCACAGAUCACCCAUAAAUCUUCAAUAACUAACUCUCCUUGGGCAUAACAUCAAAUGUUCACUUUCUUUUUAGUGUCUCAUUAGGAAGAAAAUUUAUUGCCCAACUAUUGAACUAUGUCAAUUCUUUAAAAACAUUGUGUGAAUAUUCCCAGGAACCACAUGGUUGAUUUUACAUUAGCUUUCUGUCACUGAACAGGAAAAGGCUUUGUCUUUCCAAUGAUGAAAUGACACUAAUCAUGAAAUUAGAGGAGAUAGCAUGUACUCAGUGGGAAGCGACAGCAGUUUCCCAUAAAUGUAUCAUAGCCCUGGCUCCUUUUGAUAAGUUGGAAUGAUGUCACUCCCUGCAGCCCAGACCAGGGCACACUCCACUUCCCCUGCUCUCCCCACCCCCAGCACCUCCUCCCCUAUCUCACAGUGGGUCCAAAGGGAAGGCUUCAGAGGAACCGAAUUCUUAUGCUGGGGUGUGUUUUCCAGCUGUGCUUGCUCGCCUGCCUUGGUGGGAAGAGCCUGCAAAGGACCAGGAAGGAAAAGAAAAACGUUAAAGAAAAAUCAAUGAAUUGCAUAUGGUGCCCGUUAAAAAUAAUAAAUAGGCCAGAAGAUGAAGGGCUGAGCUUACACAUGUGAACCUGUCUCUGCCGGGACCCUGGCAUCCAGAGCGAGCAGGAGGGGCUGCUUCCUGUUCGGAUUGUCCUGCCUCAGACCAGAGCAGAGUGGCAAGAGCUUCUCUGAGCAGCUGGGAGAGAGAAGGGGCGGGGGUGGGAGCAGAGACUUGAGGGUUUACCUGGCCCUAGUCCCCGUCUUCUCUGCGGGCUCUUCUGACAGGAGACUAUCUUGACCACAGGGCCUCCAGUCAAGGAAGAGGGAGACAUGCGAGUGACUCUUUGGAGAAUCAGAGGGGCGUGGGAGCAAGAUUCUGUAACACUGAGACCCAAGCCUCCACUCACAGCUGGAAAUGAGACUGGCUGAGUUUAGUUCAUGGCCCAAUGUAUAGUCUUCUUCCCAGUUCUAUUGUGUUGUCCACGUUGUCUGUCUGUCUGUCUGUCUGUCUAUCUGUCCAUCCAUCUGAGACCCAUAAUACUCAUAUAGAACUAAGAUGGAGAAGAGUCUCUUCAAGAUGACUUGGAUGAUGCAUAUGGAAUUAGCCGUGAGCCUCAUUUCCCCUCCCACCUCAGAUUUAUAUUUUAGGUCUUUAGUUAAGGGUUCCUUGGAUGAGUGCCCCCUUUCCUUGCAAAAAUCAUCUGCCUCUCUCAAUAUGCUACUAAUACUGAUUUUCAUUUUUCAAUUAAUAUUUGAACAUCUACUUGGUUAAAGAGGCUGAGAGGUACAAGAAAAGGAUUUACAUGCAAAUAACCAGUAUCUGAAUAAGUAGAUACUAUUUUGAAAUUAGAUAUGUGUUUAGUGUGUGUAUGUGUGUGUUUACAUAUGUGUUUACGAAUGUGCUUUUUAAAUACUGUAUUAGUUUUUCAAAAUGCAGCAGAGCCUAAAAUGACUCAAAAUAUGA